AUCUGAUGAGCAUAGUUCAUCAUCUUGUUUUUCACAGUUCAUUCUUCCGUCACACUGACACACAAACACACGCACACAUAGAAUCGUCUCAUCACAACAAUAUCCAGCACGACGCCGUUUUACCGAACCUUGCAUUGCAUGCUUCCAACUCCAUCAUCAUCAUCAUUUCCCAAAAAACCCUAAACCUCUCAUUUCAUCAUCUCGCCAUGAAGGACCGCCCUUCGCUGUCCUCCCAUGGCGCCAUCUAUGUUCCUCCUCACCAUCGUCUCCGCUCCGUCGUUACCUCCGCCUCCCCCGCUCCCAUUUCCGUCAAACUCAGCCAAAAUCAACCACCGCCACCUACCACUCUCCAAACCCCCUUAUCCAACAACAAUGCAAAUUCUCGCUUCGUUUCUGCUUACGACGACGUCAUUUCCGAGGAUUGCUCCAACCAUCAACUUCACGUUCCUUCCCUACCGAGUGGUUACCUCAAUGAUAACAUGAAUGAAUGGAAGAGGAAAUUAAUGAUGCUGUUGAAUGAUAAGAGUAAGCAAGAGGUGAUUUCGAGGGAGAAAAAAGACAGGCGUGAUUUUGACGACAUUGCAGUUUUGGCAACUAGAAUGGGACUGUAUAGCCAUAAGUAUUCGAAGGUUGUUGUCUUUAGUAAGGCGCCACUUCCAAAUUACAGAUAUGAUUUGGACGAAAGACGGCCUCAGAGAGAGGUGAGCAUGCCUCUCACCGUAAGCAAGCGGGUUGGUGCAUAUUUUGAGGAAUACCUUAGCCAAAAGUCUAGGGUAAAGAAAAGCUUUUCAGAUUCGUCGUUUGCAAGAUCAAGCAGUGAUGGCAGUCUUGGUACAGAUGAAGGGUUUUUUGUGCAACCUGAGCCACUAGCAUCCAGUAAGUCUGUUGUGGAGAAAAUUGCCCGGCAGAUAAGCUUUCAAAUGCGUGAUCAACAACAAGCCUGGCAGGAAUCACCUGAAGGAAGAAAAAUGCUAGAAUUUCGUAGCAAUCUCCCUGCUUAUAAAGAGAAAGAAGCAAUAUUAUCAGUCAUAUCAAAGAAUCAGGUAGUCAUCAUUUCAGGUGAAACAGGUUGUGGCAAGACAACACAAAUUCCACAAUUUAUUUUAGAGUCUGAGAUAGAAUCAGUUCAUGGAGCUGCUUGUAAUAUUAUAUGCACACAGCCAAGACGAAUUUCAGCCAUGUCUGUUUCGGAAAGGGUUGCUUUUGAGAGAGGGGAGAAAUUGGGCGAAUCUGUUGGAUAUAAAGUUCGACUGGAGGGAAUGAAAGGGAAGGAUACCCAUCUUCUCUUUUGCACUACGGGCAUCUUAUUAAGAAGAUUACUGGCUGAUAGAAACCUCAAAGGCGUAACUCAUGUUAUUGUGGAUGAAAUUCAUGAACGUGGGAUGAAUGAAGAUUUUCUGCUUAUUGUCCUUAAAGAACUCCUUCCCCAUCGGCCCGAACUCAAACUGAUUUUGAUGAGUGCUACCCUAGAUGCAGAGCUCUUCUCUUUGUACUUUAAUGGGGCUCCAAUAGUGAACAUACUGGGCUUUACACACCCUGUUAGAACUCUUUUUUUGGAGAACAUUCUUGAAAUCACGGGCUAUCGAUUGACUCCUUCUAAUCAAAUUGAUGAUUAUGGUCAAGAAAGGGCUUGGAAAAUGAACAAACAGGCCCCAAGAAAGAGGAAAAGCCAAAUUGCUUCUGCUGUAGAGGAUGCUAUUAGAUCUGCUGACUUCAGAGAGUACAGCCUUCAGACACAGGAGUCUUUGUCAUGCUGGAAUCCUGACUGUAUUGGUUUUAGUCUCAUAGAAUAUAUCCUGUGUGAUAUUUGUGAGAAUAAAAGGCCUGGUGCUGUUUUGGUUUUCAUGACUGGGUGGGAUGAUAUAAGCUCUCUGAAAGAGAAGCUCCAAACACAUUAUGUCUUAGGAGAUCCGAAGCGUGUUUUGUUGCUUACAUGUCAUGGCUCAAUGGCUAGCUCAGAGCAAAAGUUAAUAUUUGAAGAGCCUGAAGAUGGAGUAAGAAAAGUAGUGCUAGCAACAAAUAUUGCUGAAACGAGUAUCACAGUAGAUGAUGUUGUUUUUGUUCUGGACUGUGGAAAAGCAAAAGAAACAUCAUAUGAUGCACUGAAUAACACACCUUGUUUGCUUCCUACAUGGAUCUCUAAGGCUUCUGCUCAUCAAAGAAGAGGAAGAGCCGGUCGUGUCCAACCUGGGGAGUGUUACCAUCUUUAUCCUAGAUGUGUAUAUGAUGCUUUUGCAGAGUAUCAAUUGCCAGAAAUUUUGAGAACACCUUUGCAGUCUCUCUGUUUACAAAUCAAAAGUCUAAGACUUGGAAGUAUAUCUGAUUUCUUGUCCAGGGCUUUGCAGUCUCCUGAGAUACUGGCGGUACAAAAUGCAGUUGAAUAUUUAAAAAUAAUUGGGGCUUUGGAUGAGAGUGAGAAUCUGACUACUCUAGGAAGCUAUUUGACAAUGCUUCCUAUGGAACCCAAACUUGGAAAGAUGCUUAUAUUAGGGGCUAUCUUCAAUUGCUUGGAUCCUAUAUUAACUGUUGUUGCUGGACUUAGCGUAAGAGAUCCUUUUCUUUCACCACUGGAUAAAAAAGAUCUUGCAGAGGCAGCAAAAUCUCAAUAUACGGGUGCAUACAGUGACCACCUAGCACUUGUACGUGCCUAUGCGGGUUGGAAAGAGGCUGAGAUUGACCUGGUUGGAUAUGAAUAUUGCUGGAAAAACUUUCUGUCAUUCCAAUCCAUGAAGGCUAUUGAUGCUCUUCGGAGGGAAUUCAUAGGGCUGCUUACGGAUAUUGGAUUAGUUGAUAGCAACACAACCAGCUGUGACACAUGGAGCUAUGAUGUGAAUCUUAUCCGGGCAGUUAUUUGCUAUGGUCUAUACCCUGGAAUUUGUUCUGUGGUGCAUAAUGAGAAGUCAUUUGCUUUGAAAACAAUGGAGGAUGGUCAAGUUCUCUUGUACUCGAAUUCGGUCAAUGCUCGAGAAACAAGAAUUCCAUAUCCGUGGUUAGUUUUUAAUGAGAAGAUAAAAGUGAACUCCGUUUUUCUCCGUGACUCAACAGCUGUCUCUGAUUCAAUGAUGCUUUUGUUUGGUGGAAGCUUAUCAAAAGGAGAUGCUGAUAAUCAUUUAAAAAUGUUAGGAGGAUAUCUGGAGUUUUUCAUGGAACCUACUGUUGCUGAUAUGUAUCAAAGUAUAAGGAGAGAACUUGAUGACUUCAUUCAGAGCAAACUGCUUUCUCCAAGAAUGAGCGUACACUCGCAUCAUAACCUCCUAUCUGCGGUACGUUUUCUGAUUUCCCACGACUCAUGUGAAGGAAGAUUUGUAUUUGGUCGUCAGGUCCUUAAACCAUCAAAUAUAUCUGUGAUGGCCCCACACCCAGCAUCCUUGGUUCCAAGAACAGAGAGUGGACCUGGGGGUGAUAAUUCUAAAAGUCAGCUCCAAACUUUGCUUACAAGAGCAGGAUAUGCUGCUCCUGUCUACAAGACUAAACAGUUGAAGAACAACCAGUUUCGGGCCACAGUUGAGUUCAAUGGAGUGGAGAUAAUGGGCCAACCUUGCAGCAAUAAGAAGAGUGCAGAGAAAGAUGCCGCAGCUGAAGCUCUGCAAUGGUUGAUGGGCAAGCAAGCUGGCUGUGAGUAUAUCGAUCACAUGUCAAUGUUUCUCAAAAAAAGUAAGAAGGAUCACAAUUAAGUAAUCAACUCUAUUGAGCUUAAUGCCAAGGUAAAGGAACCCCAGGUAUGUACUUGACCUAAUCCUGGGUUCCUACUCGUAUUCUAGAGGCACAAGAAGGUUGGGCCAUGUCAUUUUGGAUCUCUUGUUCAUGAAAGCGGUGAAAGCCCGUACACAACAUCACACUGUUUCAAUUUGAAGUUGGAAGAUAAUCUAAAAUAUGAAUCAAGGAAUUGCUCUUGAAGAUAUUUUCAGCAAGAAAAUACUUGGUUAGCUGGUUAGAGGUAAUUGGUAUGGUCAUUUUGUAACAGGAGGACGUCGUACAUAUUCAGCGGGAAAUGAUGCCGUAGUUACAUGGUUGUGCAUACAAAUUUUUGCAAAUUAUGCAGCUGAUGUGUUUGUAAUAUGAAGCUGCUAUUGUAGUAUACUAAAGAAGAAGCUAAGUGGAAGUAAAGGACAUUUUGAGUUUGAUUACUCUUGCCAAUUGUAAAGUAGCAAACAAAGUGAAGAAGAAAUGCAUUUCAACUGGAAUAGUCAUAUUGUAUAGUAUGCUAGUUUGCAAAAACAAUUGUAAUUUCUAUUUUAAAUUUAUGAUUUGAUUCACAACAUUAUAUUGUAAUCAAGUUCUAUUUUAUAUUGUAAUCAAGUUCAUUGAUGUGUUGUGA